UCAUUUUCUUUCUUUCAUUAUCAUUCGUCAUCAUUUGGUAUUGUUCGGUAUCAUUUAUUUUCUUUCAUUGUUGUUCGUUAUUAUUUGUUAUCAUUCAUUUUUUUUCAUUAUUGUUGAUUAUCAUUCAUUAUUGUUCUAGUUAUCAUGUUCGUUAUCAUUCGUUAUCACCUGUUAUCGUGUCUGGCAUGACUCUAACCCUAACAAUGCCUCUCACAGCUGACUGCUGUAACCCUGUGUGUCUGUGUCUCUUUCUUAGCGGCGCGCAUGUCUCGGCUCUCCUGUCUCUUAAAAUUGGGCUCUCAGCUGCUGACACUCGCUCUAUCAGACGCAGUGUGGAGGAGAAUCGCCACGGUGACGUCUCCACCAAUUACAGUCCUCCGUUCUUCUCCAAGGUCAAAGUCAAAUGGAUUGACAACAAGAUGAAUCAGAUGGGACUAUGUGAGUGUGUGUGUGUGUGUGUGUCUGCGGGUAUGCUUGGAGGAUGGAGCUCAGCCACCUGCAGGCCUGAGGGGUGUGGCCCUGCGGAAGGACUGGCCACACCCGAAGUCACACACCUGCUGCUGAUCAGGCCUCGUCGGGGGAGCUACUUAGGAGAGAGUUGGAGCUCCCACCGACGCGGGAUCAUUUCCUUGAGACUCCACGAGGAGCGUGGAAGGCACGAAGAGCAGCGAGCACCGGGGGGUGCUGACACGGGAGCGGAGAGCACAGAGACACGAACUAUUCACGCAGAGACACGACACGGGAGUCUGGGAGAACACGGGGAUUUAUUGUUGUUUUUGUU
ensembl:lncRNA